AUUGAACGCUGGCGGCGUGCUUAACACAUGCAAGUCGAUCGGUAACAGGUGUAGCAAUACAUGCUGACGAGAGGCGGACGGGUGAGGAACGCUUGGGAAUCUGCCUAUCAGCGGGGGACAACCCGGGGAAACCCGGGCUAAUACCGCAUACGCUCUACGGAGGAAAGCCGGGGACCGCAAGGCCUGGCACUGAUAGAUGAGCCCAAGUCGGAUUAGCUAGCUGGCGGGGUAACGGCCCACCAAGGCGACGAUCCGUAGCUGGUCUGAGAGGACGAUCAGCCACACCGGAACUGAGACACGGUCCGGACUCCUACGGGAGUCAGCAGUGGGGAAUAUUGGACAAUGGGCGAAAGCCUGAUCCAGCGACGCCGCGUGGGUGAAGAAGGCCUGCGGGUUGUAAAGCCCUUUCGGUAGGGACGAAAGCUCUCGACCUAACACGUCGGGAGGUUGACUUAACCUACAAAAGAAGCACCGGCUAACUCUGUGCCAGCAGCCGCAGUAAUAC
rnacentral:rRNA from 1 species